UGGGGAAUUUUGGACAAUGGGCGAAAGCCUGAUCCAGCAAUGCCGCGUGUGUGAAGAAGGCCUUCGGGUUGUAAAGCACUUUUGUCCGGAAAGAAAUCCUUGGCUCUAAUACAGUCGGGGGAUGACGGUACCGGAAGAAUAAGCACCGGCUAACUACGUGCCAGCAGCCGCGGUAAUACGUAGGGUGCAAGCGUUAAUCGGAAUUACUGGGCGUAAAGCGUGCGCAGGCGGUUUGCUAAGACCGAUGUGAAAUCCCCGGGCUCAACCUGGGAACUGCAUUGGUGACUGGCAGGCUAGAGUAUGGCAGAGGGGGGUUAGAAUUCCACGUGUAGCAGUGAAAUGCGUAGAGAUGUGGAGGAAUACCGAUGGCGAAGGCAGCCCCCUGGGCCAAUACUGACGCUCAUGCAUGAGAAGCGUGGGGAGCAAACAGGAUUAGAUACCCCUGGUAGUCCACGCCCUAAACGAUGUCAACUAGUUGUUGGGGAUUCAUUUCCUUAGUAACGUAGCUAACGCGUGAAGUUGACCGCCUGGGGAGUACGGUCGCAAGAUUAAAACUCAAAGGAAUUGACGGGGUCAUAGCUGUUU
rnacentral:rRNA from 1 species